rnacentral:rRNA from 1 species
UUAAGCGACUAAGCGUACACGGUGGAUGCCCUGGCAGUCAGAGGCGAUGAAGGGCGUGCUAAUCUGCGAUAAGCGCCGGUAAGGUGAUAUGAACCGUUAUAACCGGCGAUACCCGAAUGGGGAAACCCAGUGUGAUUCGUCACACUAUCAUUAACUGAAUCCAUAGGUUAAUGAGGCGAACCGGGGGAACUGAAACAUCUAAGUACCCCGAGGAAAAGAAAUCAACCGAGAUUCCCCCAGUAGCGGCGAGCGAACGGGGAGGAGCCCAGAGCCUGAAUCAGCAUGUGUGUUAGUGGAAGCGUCUGGAAAGGCGCGCGAUACAGGGUGACAGCCCCGUACACAAAAGCGCAUGUGCUGUGAGCUCGAUGAGUAGGGCGGGACACGUGGUAUCCUGUCUGAAUAUGGGGGGACCAUCCUCCAAGGCUAAAUACUCCUGACUGACCGAUAGUGAACCAGUACCGUGAGGGAAAGGCGAAAAGAACCCCGGCGAGGGGAGUGAAAAAGAACCUGAAACCGUGUACGUACAAGCAGUGGGAGCCCCACCACCAAAGCAUUCUCUGGUGUUGAAGGCCCUGCAAAGCAGCAUCGCGGUGGCGGAGCGUCGUUUGCGACGCCCAACACACAAAACAAGCGGUGAGUGCUUUGGGGUGGGGUGACUGCGUACCUUUUGUAUAAUGGGUCAGCGACUUAUAUUCUGUAGCAAGGUUAACCGAAUAGGGGAGCCGGAGGGAAACCGAGUCUUAAUUGGGCGUUAAGUUGCAGGGUAUAGACCCGAAACCCGGUGAUCUAGCCAUGGGCAGGUUGAAGGUUGGGUAACACUAACUGGAGGACCGAACCGACUAAUGUUGAAAAAUUAGCGGAUGACCUGUGGCUGGGGGUGAAAGGCCAAUCAAACCGGGAGAUAGCUGGUUCUCCCCGAAAGCUAUUUAGGUAGCGCCUCGUGAAUUCAUCUCCGGGGGUAGAGCACUGUUUCGGCUAGGGGGCCAUCCCGGCUUACCAACCCGAUGCAAACUGCGAAUACCGGAGAAUGUUAUCACGGGAGACACACGGCGGGUGCUAACGUCCGUCGUGAAGAGGGAAACAACCCAGACCGCCAGCUAAGGUCCCAAAGUCAUGGUUAAGUGGGAAACGAUGUGGGAAGGCCCAGACAGCCAGGAUGUUGGCUUAGAAGCAGCCAUCAUUUAAAGAAAGCGUAAUAGCUCACUGGUCGAGUCGGCCUGCGCGGAAGAUGUAACGGGGCUAAACCAUGCACCGAAGCUGCGGCAGCGACGCUGAUGCGUUGUUGGGUAGGGGAGCGUUCUGUAAGCCUGUGAAGGUGGCCUGUGAGGGUUGCUGGAGGUAUCAGAAGUGCGAAUGCUGACAUAAGUAACGAUAAAGCGGGUGAAAAGCCCGCUCGCCGGAAGACCAAGGGUUCCUGUCCAACGUUAAUCGGGGCAGGGUGAGUCGACCCCUAAGGCGAGGCCGAAAGGCGUAGUCGAUGGGAAACGGGUUAAUAUUCCCGUACUUGGUGUUACUGCGAAGGGGGGACGGAGAAGGCUAUGUUGGCCGGGCGACGGUUGUCCCGGUUUAAGCGUGUAGGUGUGUGUUCCAGGUAAAUCCGGUUCACUUUAACACUGAGGCGUGAUGACGAGGCACUACGGUGCUGAAGCAACAAAUGCCCUGCUUCCAGGAAAAGCCUCUAAGCAUCAGGUAACAUCAAAUCGUACCCCAAACCGACACAGGUGGUCAGGUAGAGAAUACCAAGGCGCUUGAGAGAACUCGGGUGAAGGAACUAGGCAAAAUGGUGCCGUAACUUCGGGAGAAGGCACGCUGACAUGUAGGUGAAGUGAUUUACUCAUGGAGCUGAAGUCAGUCGAAGAUACCAGCUGGCUGCAACUGUUUAUUAAAAACACAGCACUGUGCAAACACGAAAGUGGACGUAUACGGUGUGACGCCUGCCCGGUGCCGGAAGGUUAAUUGAUGGGGUCAGCGCAAGCGAAGCUCCUGAUCGAAGCCCCGGUAAACGGCGGCCGUAACUAUAACGGUCCUAAGGUAGCGAAAUUCCUUGUCGGGUAAGUUCCGACCUGCACGAAUGGCGUAAUGAUGGCCAGGCUGUCUCCACCCGAGACUCAGUGAAAUUGAACUCGCUGUGAAGAUGCAGUGUACCCGCGGCAAGACGGAAAGACCCCGUGAACCUUUACUAUAGCUUGACACUGAACAUUGAGCCUUGAUGUGUAGGAUAGGUGGGAGGCUUUGAAGUGUGGACGCCAGUCUGCAUGGAGCCGACCUUGAAAUACCACCCUUUAAUGUUUGAUGUUCUAACGUGGACCCGUAAUCCGGGUUGCGGACAGUGUCUGGUGGGUAGUUUGACUGGGGCGGUCUCCUCCUAAAGAGUAACGGAGGAGCACGAAGGUUGGCUAAUCCUGGUCGGACAUCAGGAGGUUAGUGCAAUGGCAUAAGCCAGCUUGACUGCGAGCGUGACGGCGCGAGCAGGUGCGAAAGCAGGUCAUAGUGAUCCGGUGGUUCUGAAUGGAAGGGCCAUCGCUCAACGGAUAAAAGGUACUCCGGGGAUAACAGGCUGAUACCGCCCAAGAGUUCAUAUCGACGGCGGUGUUUGGCACCUCGAUGUCGGCUCAUCACAUCCUGGGGCUGAAGUAGGUCCCAAGGGUAUGGCUGUUCGCCAUUUAAAGUGGUACGCGAGCUGGGUUUAGAACGUCGUGAGACAGUUCGGUCCCUAUCUGCCGUGGGCGCUGGAGAACUGAGGGGGGCUGCUCCUAGUACGAGAGGACCGGAGUGGACGCAUCACUGGUGUUCGGGUUGUCAUGCCAAUGGCACUGCCCGGUAGCUAAAUGCGGAAGAGAUAAGUGCUGAAAGCAUCUAAGCACGAAACUUGCCCCGAGAUGAGUUCUCCCUGAGACUUUAGGUCUCCUGAAGGAACGUUGAAGACGACGACGUUGAUAGGCCGGGUGUGUAAGCGCAGCGAUGCGUUGAGCUAACCGGUACUAAUGAACCGUGAGGCUUAACCUU